rnacentral:rRNA from 1 species
GACGAACGCUGGCGGCGUGCCUAAUACAUGCAAGUAGAACGCUGAAGGAGGAGCUUGCUCUUCUGGAUGAGUUGCGAACGGGUGAGUAACGCGUAGGUAACCUGCCUGGUAGCGGGGGAUAACUAUUGGAAACGAUAGCUAAUACCGCAUAACAGUAGAUGUUGCAUGACAUUUACUUAAAAGGUGCAAUUGCAUCACUACCAGAUGGACCUGCGUUGUAUUAGCUAGUUGGUGGGGUAACGGCUCACCAAGGCGACGAUACAUAGCCGACCUGAGAGGGUGAUCGGCCACACUGGGACUGAGACACGGCCCAGACUCCUACGGGAGGCAGCAGUAGGGAAUCUUCGGCAAUAGACGGAAGUCUGACCGAGCAACGCCGCGUGAGUGAAGAAGGUUUUCGGAUCGUAAAGCUCGGUUGUAAGAGAAGAACGAGUGUGAGAGUGGAAAGUUCACACUGUGACGGUAUCUUACCAGAAAGGGACGGCUAACUACGUG